rnacentral:rRNA from 1 species
GAUGAACGCUGGCGGCGUGCUUAAUACAUGCAAGUCGAGCGAAAAGACGAGGAGCUUGCGGCGUGGACGUUAGGGGAGGGCGGGUGAGUAACACGUGGAAAAUCUACCUGUAAGACGGGGAUAACUUCGGGAAACCGGAGCUAAUACGGGAUGAUCUAUUGAACCGCAUGGUUGAAUGGUGAAAGACGGCGUUGCUGUCACUUAUAGCUGGAUACGCGCCGUAUUAGAGAGUUGGUAAGGUAAUGGCUUACCAAGGCGACGAUGCGUAGCCGACCUGAGAGAGUGAUAGGCCACAUGAGAACUUAGACACGGUCAAGACGCCUACGGUACGCAGCAGUAGGGAAUCGUCCGCAGUAGGCGGAAGCCUGACGGAGCGACGCCGCGCGAGUGAUGAAAGUCCUCGGAGCGUAAAGCUCUGUUAUUAGGGAAGAACAAAUUUGUAAGUUACUAUGCACGUCUUGACGGUACCUAAUCAGAAAGCCACGGCUAACUACGUG